UUUUGCAUCUAUAUUUAUAAGAGAUAUUGGUCUUUGUUUUUUUUUUUCUUGUAAUGUCUUUGUCUGGUUUUGGUAUUAAGGUAAUGCUGGUCUCAUAUAAUGAGUUAGGAAGUGUUUGCUUUGCUUCCAUCUUCUGGCAGAUAUUGUAGAGAAUUGGCACAAUUUUUCCUUAAAUGUUUGGUAGAAUUCACCAGUGACCCCAUCUGGGCCUGGUGCUUUCUGUUUUGGGAAGUUAUUAACUAUUGAUUCAAUCUCUUUACUAUAGACCUGAUAGUCUAUUUCUUCUUUUGUGAGUUUUGGCAAAUUGUGUCUUUCAAUGAAUUGGUCUAUUUCCUUUAGGUUAUCAAAUAUGUAAGCAUAGAGUGGUUCAUAAUGUUUCUUUAUUAUACUUUAAAUAGCUAUGGGAUCUGUAGUGAUGUUUCCUCUUUCCUUUCUGAUAUUAGUAAGUUGUGUCCUCUCUUUUUUCUUAAUUAUCCUGGCUAGAGUCUUAUCAAUUUUAUUGAUAUUUUCAAAGAACCAUCUUUGGAUUUUCUUUUUUUAUUUUCUGCUUUUAAUGUUAUUGUUUCUGCUCUAAUUUUUAUUUUCUUUCUUCUGAUUACUUUGGAUUUAACUGCUUUUCCUUUUCUAGUUUCCUAAGGUGGAAGCUUAGAUGAUUGAUUUUAGAUAUUUCUUUUUUUUUUUGCGAUAGAGUCUCAUUCUGUCACCCAGGCUGGAGUGCAAUGGCAUGAUCUCAGCUCAUCGCAACUUCCUCCUCCUGGGUUCAAGUGAUUCUCCUGCCUCAGCCUCCCAAGUAGCUGGAAUUACAGGUGCGUGCCACCACAUCCAGCUAAUUUUUGUAUUUUUAGUAGAGAUAGGGUUUCAUCAUGUUGGCCAGGAUGGUCUUGAACUCCUGACCUCAACUGAUCCACCUGUCUCGGCCACCCAAAUUGCUGGGAUUAUAGGCAUAAGCCACCGCGCUCGGCUGAUAUUUCUUCUUUUCUAAAAUAUAUUCAAUGCUAUAAAUUUUCAUCUAAGCAUUGCUUUAUUGCCAUUAUUUUGCUAUUAUAUUGCCAUUAUUUUGAACACAGUGUUACCUGUUAGAUCAACUAAGAAUAUGAAAAAUAGAACUUUUUAUUUAACUUUCACUCAUUUCUUCUUCAGUGUCCUUUCUUUCUUUAUAAAGAUCCAAGUUUCUGACCUCCGUAAUUUUUUUCCCUCUAAAGAAUUUUUAAUAUUUCUUGCAAGUAGGUCUGUGGACAAGAAAUUUCUCAGUUUUGUCUAAGAAAGUCAUUAUUUUUUCUUCACUUUUAAAGGAUAGUUUCACAGGGUAUAGAAUUCUAGGUUGGUGAGCUUCUUUUUUAUCAACACUUUAAAUAUUUUACUCUACUCUCUUCUUGCUUAGAUGAUUUCUGAGAAUAAGUCAUAUGUGAUUCUUAUCACAGCUCCUCUAUAGGGAAGGGUUUUUUCCAUGUCAUUUCUCUUAAGAUUUUUUCUUUUACUUUGAUUUUCUGAAGUUUGAAUAUGAUAUGAAUAGGUGUCUCUUUUUUUUUUGGCAUUUAUACUGCUUGGUGCUCUCUGACCUUCCACAGAUUCCUGAAGAUCUUUGGUUUGGUGUCUGACAUUUGUUUGAGAAAAAUUCUUCAUCAUUAUUGCUUUAAGUAUUGCCUCUGUUUCUUGAUCUCUUUCUUUUCCUCCUGGUAUUUCCAUUAGGCAUAUAUUAUACCUUUUGUAGUUGUCCCACAGUUCUUCUUAGAUAGUGUGUUUUUUUCUUUGCUAUUCAGUUUUGAAAGUUUCUAUUAUCAUAUCCUCAUGCUGAAAGAUUCUUUCCUCAGUUGUCUCCAGUCUACUAAUGAGUCCAUCACAGGAAUUCUUUAUUUCUGUUGCAGUGGUUUUGAUCUCUAGCAUGUUUUUGCCAGAAUUUCUACCUCUCUGCUUAUGUUAUUCAUUUGCCCUCGAAUGUUGUUUGCUGUCUACAUUAAAGCCUUAGUAUAUUAAUCACAGCUUUAAAAAUUUCAGGAAUCCCAAUAUUCCUGCCAUAUCUGACUGAUUCUGAUGCUGGUUCAGUCUCUUCGAACAGUGUUUUUUGCCUGUUAGUCUUGUAAUUUUUUGUUGAAAGGUGGACAAGUUGUACAGAGUAAAAGGGAACUGCUGUAAAUAGGACUUUAGUGAAGUGGCCGUGCUGUACGGGCAGUGUCUAUGGUCCUAUGUCUCGGUCUCAGCCCCAGUGAGCCUGGGGCCACGAGCUACACCUCUCAGAUUCUUCCUCCCUUAGGUGGAACAGGAUGGCUAGAGUGGGCUGGAGUUGGGUGUUUCCAAUCUCAGCUCUGAUAAAACUGUAGCAGGUCUGGCUCUGGUUAAAUAGUUUCUUCUGAAGCUUUGCUAAGAAGAGAAUGCUCUAGUGUAACUCAGAACAGCCCCUUUACCUUUCCCCUGCCUAAAGCACAGGCGACAUUUCUCUGAUGUUCACUGUGGGCACUGCAGGGCUCCUGGAGGUAAAACUCACAAAGGUGUGCCCCCAAUGCCUGGGUCCCCUGGAGUUGAUAACUCUCAGACUUGUCCACACUGAGCUUCCGGCAGCUCAAGAGGUUUCUGCUCAUGUGUUUCUGCUCAGGUAAGUUGUGCUUCUCUGUAUCCACCUGUCUCUCCAAUUGUGAGGGCAGGGGCUUGCCGUGUGACCUUACUUGUCUGAUGAGUCUAAGAAGAGUUGUUGACUUUUCAGUUUGUUCAGCAUUUUACUUGUUUCAUUAGGACUGAGGGGAGACCUGAGUGCCUUACAUGCCAGACUCCAUAACUCCUUUUUACAGCUUCACUGUGUCUAUGCCAAGCUGGAAUCUUUUUCUACAUUGUCAAUGCUAGAUACAGCAAAAUGAUGACCAAUGGGUUGGAUACUUCAGCAGGUGUUCACUAAGCACCUAUUAAGGCUGGUCCUACACACUGCAGUGAGGACACAGAGGUAAACAGCGUCACCAAGGGGCCUGCAUCAGGGUGUUAACGACCUUGAGGUUGUUCACAGGACAAAGGACAAGUUGGGAGAUGAGACAGAGGACCCAGUGCCACCAACUGGGGCACUCUCCGUCUUUAGCCCCAGCCAGAAGACAGUUCCCGGGUGCCCAGGAGUUCUCCAAAUGUCCCUGGCAAACCAGUGGAGUGUGACAGAAACAAGAUUAAAAUAAAAUGGUUCAGGCUGCUGGCCCUGGCCUCCUGCCUGGAACUGGAGCUCUGCUGAAGGGAUCUGUGGGGGCCGAGGGUGCUGCCUUCACAGAAGCUGAUGGUCAGGAUUUCCCUACAGUGCUGAGGGCUAAGUGGUGUCCCCCACACACACUGUUGGAGCAGUAGGCCCCAGCUCCUCAGAACACAACCUUAUUUGGAGACAGAGCUCAUACAGUAGUAGCGUGGCCCCAAUCCAAUAUGACAGCGUCCUCAUAAAAAGGGGAUAUUUGGACACAGAUGCACACACAGAGACCCCAUGUGGUGGAGAGUGAUGUUGCCGGGAGCCAAGGAACAAUGGAUGGCCAGCAGCCUCCAGUCACUAAGAGAGAGGCUGGAGCCGGGCCUCCCUCGGCCUCCAGAAUGAACCAACCAUGCUGACACCUUGAUCUUGGCCUCCAGCCUCCAGAACCAUGCAAAAACAAACUUCCAUUGCAUAAGUCCCCAUCCCCAGGAAACAAAUGCAGUUAGAGUUGUGAAAAGCAGAAACUACUGAAUAUACGAGGCUUUUUCUGAUCCACUCUCCCUCAUAGUCAGAUGUGGAGUUUGAGAGUUCAUUAUUGAAAUUCUAGUAAACAAGCUGACUCCACGUUGAUUCUGGAAGCCGCUGACAGUGGAGGCAGGAUUCUCUGUAAACUCCCAGUGUGGUUUUGUGGCCUGAGCCUUGGGCCCGGCUCUGCCAGCUGAUGACCCGCUGUCCUCCGUGCUCCAUGUGGCGUCUUGCUGACCGUCUGUUGUUGGUAGAGCCUGAGGAGGUCAAAGUCCCAGGAAUGGUUCGUCAGCAUUUGCUAACCCUAGAAAUGCAAUCCCCAAGUCACUGACCCCUGGCAUUAAUUCUGGGUGCUGGGGGGUGGCCGUGGGCAGCUGGGCCAGUGUCACUGCCUACAAAUGGUCCUGGGGCCCUGGGAAUGGGUGCGUGACAGGUGGGAAAAUGCAUUUCCUCCAAAAGGCAGAGCCCGCAUAAGUAGGGGCCGCUCCCAGCGUUCAUCUGCCGACCUCGCAGCUAACCCACUGUCCUUGGCACCGGCUCAGGAAGCAGCUUAGCUCAGGACGAUGGCCAUGAGAGCCACUUUUCGGCUCUUCUCUUCCUUUCCCUCCUGAGGAAAGCCUCACCUGGGAAGCAACAGCUGGAGGGAGUGAAUGGUUUUGUUACGCUUGGAGAAAGAACAGGUUUCGUCACGGCCUUCCCACCCUGACCAGCAGCACCUUGGGAUGUGGGGGGCACUGACAUGAAGAACCCCCCAGGCAGGUCUCCCUUUCCCAAGGAAGAAGCCCCUGCUGGCCCAGGUGGCUGAGAGAGCUGCAGACAGCACCCAAACCACUCACUGGGGUGCCAUCCACACUCUGCACUCUGCACCCCACACCCGGUAGAGCAACCCCAUGUGCCAGCAAGUGACCUCAGAGCAGCCUGCCCAGGCCCGGGGCUCGUGGCUUGCCUGUUUCCCGGGUGGGGGAGGGCGGAAAGGCGAGUGUGAGGGAGCGGCUGGCUGAGAGAUUAGGAUCUCAGCCCCUCUACAAGAUGCAUGAGCCUCGCGGCUCCUGUGCGGGCCCCAUUCCUCUUCUGAUCCAUUAGCGGGGUCUCCAUCACGGCUGUAUCUCCCUUGGAGGUCGGGUAGCAUCCAUCCUGGCUGGCCGCACCCGCAUUACCGUGUCGCAUGAUCCAUCCGGUGCCUCUGCAGACAGUGGGCACUAGGACAGACGGGCUGGAGCUGGCAUAUCGUACGGAUAAACUGUUUAUCACUCCAUUGACGCCACUCCAACUCCCCGCAGCUGACCCCACGCUCACUAAUGUCUAGAUCGUGGGCAGGAGAACGGCCGUCCCUGGGGGUCAUGGUGCGCAUCUCCUCGUUCUUUGGUGCUGAGGAAGGAGGUGGCAGAGGCCUUGGAGUAACAGAGCCAGGGUUGUGGGAGAGGAAGGUGGCUGAAUGUGGUGAGGGCCCUGCCAGGUGCUUUGGGAGUCCUGUGGGACUGCAGAAUGAGCACGUUCGCUCCAUCGUUUGAUGACAAAGGCACCCGGUGUCCUUGAGCCGAGCACGCACCGUCCACUUGGUAGGGGCAUUAGCCUGUCGGAAAGCUGCCCGGUGCAGGGGGGGCUUUCAGCCUGCAGGACACCGAGAGCUGUCUGUAAACCUCUCCAUGGUUGUGUGGACCUCAGGCCGAGGCAGCCUGCAGUGAAGGAAGAUGUUUUGGAGAAGCUGUUGGGGGCUGAAUCCCUAAACGCAGGGGACACUUCACGCCCGUGGAAUUUGGAAAACCGAGGCAGGGACAGGGAAGGGUGUGGGACUCAGGAACAGGAGCAGCUGGUGCUCCUUUAACUCGCUUGGUGGCAGUUCUUGCUUCUCUGUAGAAGUCCGUGGCAGUUCAGGGUGUUUCCAUCUGAGAUCCUACACUCAGCCGGGGGCCCACGGUGCAGCCGGGCCCCGGGCCCCGGGCCUUCUGGGCAGCAAGGGCCCUGGCAGGACCCUGAGGGCUGGGCCGAGGAGGGCGGCUUGCUCCGGGGCACCCGUCAGGGGCCCCACACGGCGGCUUUUAGGCCUGGAGUGGCAAAGACGCUGCUGCCGCCUGGGCUCGGCUCCCAUGACUGUGAAGGACCCUCGUCACUCCCCGUUGCCUGCCUGAGCUGCCUGGGGACCCUCCUGCUGCGUCAGCACAGAGCCUGGAACCGCGGCCAAGGCAGGAAGCUCCCGUGUGAAGGCACCAAACACGGCAAAUGCCCUCACAACGCCGGGCCCCUUUCCCUGUGGACGUGAAGUGGGAACGGUACGAGGACGUGACGUGAGAACGUGACGUGGAAACGUGACGUGAGAACGUGACGUGGUAACGUGGCGUGGACGUGACGUGACGUGAUAUGACGUGAGGACAGCGUGGCAGGAGCGGCGCUUCAGAUCCAGCAGGGAGUGAGACGAAAGAAGGGUAGAAGAGGGGCCCCCGGAGCCCCGCGCGUCAAGAGAUGACAGAGCAGGGUGUGGAGUGCGUCUUAGCGCAGAGGAGUGCCACUUUGCUGUGAUCGUGGCUCAGAGGAGCUUCUUCUCCAGCGAUGCCGCCUUCAUGACGCUGACCACGCCAUCCCAGCCUUUGCCACCCGCUUCUGCCAGCCUGGCUCUUCCCACACACAUUUCUACCACGUAACAAAGAACUGGACCCUCCAGUGCCAUGGGAAACCAGGCUCUCAACAAAACCAGGACCCAUCCCACACCGGACUCUUAGGACACGGCCUUCUCUGCUACUUCACAUCUCCAGCUGCUGCUGAGCCAGCUGUUUUGGUGGACAGCUGCCUUGGGAAAGUGCCUGUUUGCACAUCGACAGUAUGGGGACCAGGGACCCUGGGGUCGGCCAUGGCUUCACAUAAAGGAAAGCCUGUUCCUCCUGAGGCUAGCUGAGGACAGGCGCCGUGUUCCACUCAAUGUCUGCUAAAGGCAGGCAGCCGGCAGGGCUGCAAGGUUUUGUCCUCAUAAAAAGCCUUCAAUAAACACCCCUAAACCCCUAUGGUUAUGCACAAAUGCUAAAAUGUCUGCAUGAUACUUUUCCCCUGGCCCCCAGUCCCCGCCCUCCUGAGCAAUUGCUGGAUAAAUCACAUUCACUUUUAAUUUAGUGGACAUGGCCAGGUAAGAUUCUCAAAAGAUCAUUUCAGUAUGCACUUCUGCCAGAAACGUGAACUAAUUCCCCGCACCCUCAGCAGCUCCAGAGGUGCGGGGUUUUGAUGUUUGCUGUUCCAAAGCGGAGAAGCAGGCUCUGCCGUUGCCAGAGUUCGCAUUUCCCUAACCCUGCACUGUGCCUCAUUUUAAAUUAUUAGUUGUUCGUAGAUCGUCUUUGGCACAUGGCUAGUUCCUGUUCUUUGCUAUUUUUCCCAUUGCAUUGCCUGACUUUUUCUCAACAUAAAGUAAGAGAAUUUGGUCUAUGAAGGAUACUAACCCUUUAUCAUACGAACUGCAAACAUUUUUCUCAGUCUGUCACUUGUUAUAUUGCUAUAAUUUGUACUUGCCAUGUAAAAAUACCUAAUUUGACAUUGUAAAAUAUAUUUAACUUUUCUUU